CUCCAACUAUAGUAGUCAGAGGCCAUGCUAACAUACUGAAGAUCACAGGAGUAAUCACAACGGCCACAAAGGAAACCAGAGGCUCUAAUUAAAAACAAAAAGACUUCCAAAUUCCAAAUACAUAAAACUAUGUACUACAAUCCCAGAACAGAAAAAAAGAUACUCCACCUUCCAUAUAUGAUCCAGAGAGAAUGACAAAGAAAAGAAGCUAAUUAUACAAAGAGCAAAGGCAUAUUAAAGCCUACCAAUGAUAAGUCAGAGGAGAGUAUGAACAUCCAGCAGAGAAAAACCCAGGUUUGAUAGAGGUUCCUGAUAUGUUAAUACAUGGAAUGAUAACAGCUGAGGUCCAGUGAGAAGAUGAAAAGAAGAUUGGAGGAAGAAGAUGAGGGUGGUAAUGGGAGCCAUUCAUAUAAUAUUGUCCCCUUGAAGAACUUCAUUAACAUAUAUAUAUAUAUAUAUGACAUAUACAAC
rnacentral:lncRNA from 1 species